CGUCAGUGGAGUUAUUUAUAAUUUAGUAAAGCUUGGUCUCAACCGUCGUAUACGCGUCGGCCCCAGAGAGUUAAAAAAAACUGCUGCAGAAACCAUUAAGUGCUGCACGUUUUGUGCACAUUCACAAUCUUUGGUUUAUUCCUGCUAAUAAAUGUAUUCAACAUAAAAUAAGUUUGCAGGUCAUUAAGUUGUGACUUGAGCGUGGACGCCAUGUGCACGUGCAGAUGCUGCUCUGCUUAAAAAGUGCUUUGGUUCUGGCUGUGGUGAAGUCUCACAGCAGAAUACGUGCACUCUUGUUGUGACUCUGUCUUCCUCCUCUUGCUUUUUGCAGGUUUUGUGGAGAAACGUAGAGUUACGUAGCUCUCUGCCUCCAGUUCACCAACCUGAAAAUAAUAAUAGUGUGUUAAAAAGAAUU